CGGUCCAGGGCCAGCGGGUCAGCCACAGGAGCCGCAGCGCGUGGGCAGCUUUGCGGGCCGUGGCCGGGUUUCUGCUGUGACGGCAGGUGAGGCCUUCCGGACGCCGCCCAUGGAAACUGGAGAGGUUGAACACACAAAAACAAAGGUAAUUCCAUCAGGCCGAGCAUGGCUGUAGGGGUCACUUUUCCUGCAUGAGCAACCGCCUAACUGGCAGAGACGUCAGAAGGCUCUACUACUGAGCGAGGCUGUCAAGAGACCAGUGACCACAGCUUCAGUUGAUGUUCUGAGGCCACUUGCUGAUCCAGUCAGAUCCCAAUGGCACCGAGAUGUCCUGGACACAGGAAGAAGGGAACAUCACCGGAGAUCUUAAGUAAGUCCCACAGCUCUUCAUAUGCUCUGUGUCAUACCCAGGGCAGUGUGAGCACAUGGUCAGGUCCCAGGAAGGUCACGAAAACAGACUGACCAGUGGCCCGAAUACUGAGACCAGCGCGAAAACACUCUCAGGGCAAUGGUUCAGCGUGUGUAAGGUGGUGAAAGCAAAGAUGAUCCUGGCCUGCCGGAAGGAAGCAGACGGGAAUUCCAGGACUGCAGGACAGUAACACAGCAUCCAAACACUUGGAACUGAAGGGACACUUGUGGAAUGGAAAGCAGAGCAGGAGACAAUGUCCACUGGCACGCAAGAGAGUACUAAACUGGGGACAUAGGGACCCAGUGAAUGUGUCUACCAAACUGACUGAUCAGCUGACUGUUACCAGCACUCCUCCCCACACCCCAUGUACAUUGCAGAGAUACUAGCAGUUGUAUACCCCUGAAUAUUUUGGUUACAGGUUUGCAAAGUUUGUGCCCACAGGCACUUAUCAGAUAUUUGGCUCCUGCAGUUAAGUGGGCAGGCUCCAGGUGGUUGACCGAGGAGCCCACAGGCAUGGUACAGAAUACUACAUGGCAUUUUGUAAUCAAUGAUUAGUUAUAGGUGGAAACAUUUUGCCAUUUUCUGUCCUCACAUUUUCUCCAGUUGCAAUGCCACCUUUGGUCCUUCUUUUGACAUGUGAUGUGGGUGGUUCUAAGUCUGUGAAUGUACCAAGUCCUCAUUUUGAUCUAAUUCUUAAGUGAUUGUUUAGCUGGUGCAGAGUUUCUUGUUGACAGCUACCGUCUAUCAGAACAUUUAAGACAUUAGUCCCUGGCUGCUGCUCCCUGCACGUAAUUUUCGUGCAGGGAAUCUGCCUUCCCUUACUGUGUCCUGUUCUGGAAUUUCAUUACAGUGUUUCUGAGUACAAAUUCAUUUGAUGCUGCUUAGCACUUGAUGUGACCCUUCUGAAUCCAUGCCCUCAAUUCUGGCCGCUUCUCGGCCUUCCUGUCAUGGCGUCUAUCCACCCUGACCUUGAUUCUCAAGUUGGUGGAUGCCUCUCUGUUCUCCACGUCUCAGAGCCACCUUGCUCAAGCUUAUCUGUCUGUGCUCUGGGUGGACUGUUCACUAAACAUCCCUUCUGGUGUCAGUCAGACUUUUUUCAUCUACUGAGGUUUUGUGUUGUUUUGUUUUUUUAGUGACCUCAUGUUGCAGUUCUAAUUUUCUUUUUUGUUUUUAUUUUGUCUCCUCCAGUUUUAUUUUAUAAUCUCUUUUUAAUUUUUGUUACGUGACAGAAGAAGGGCAGUGCACCGAGCAGGGAGCACUCCCUGCACAUCUGUGGGACACCUGUGGCUUCAUGCCUGGCCCUAGGCUGCCCCUCCAGUCAUCAUGGGCUCCAGUGUGAGUGGGGCUGGGGAGGAGCCAGGGCCUGGCAUCAAGCAGUCCUCUCCACAAUGCUAGCAAGUCGGGGCACUACCCUGAUUUUGAUGGAAGGAACUGAGGGCAGGGGAGGUCAUGAGUACGCCCCGUGCCCUGCCUGCUGGUAGGCAGGCAGAGGAGGGCAGCCCACCUCCUCCUCGGCUCAGACAUGCAGAGGACAGGCCUGGGGUCCUCCCACCACAGCAAGGUUUUAACAGAAGAGAUAUAUCUCCAUGGGGACCCUUUUCAGAACCACAGAACCAGCAGAGCUCACAAUGUUUGGGAAACUCAACCAAGAGCAGGGGCAUCCAUGGGCCCCUGGCCAGCCAGAUGUCCACAGAGCCCACAAGGCCAGGCUGGAGUGGCACAGCAGUGCUGCGGAGGCCCUUGUCCCCAUAGCUCUGCAUCCACAGGGACUCUGUGCUGGGCAGGUGCUGAGUGGAGCGUCUCCCUGGUCUCAUGGACAGCUUCCCACGGGGGCAGAUGCUGGGCUGAGCCUGGGCACACAAAUGCCCAGUCCUCUGGAAUGGCCCUUGAUCCUAGAGGCAGGGUGGUUCUGCUUCUCUGGAGAAGUAUCCCAGUUGGAUAGACCUAAGCUUCCCACAAGAGCUCCCAGUGGGGUCCCGCAAGGAACCCCAGCAGUGGCAGGUGGCUUUCCCCAGCCAGGGUACCUCCUCCACACCCAGAAAAGACCACACCGUGCUGCAGAAAAGGCCCCGGUUGUGGCUGCAGAAGUGAUAAGACAGCUCUGAAGACAGGAAGCCCAUCUUGAAGAGAGGGUCGAGGACUUGGUACUCUGGAAGAGACAGGAAGUCGUGUGGCCCCUUUGUCUAAAGGUGUCGGGAGCAUUUGUGUAGAACUGCCUCAGAAGCAAUGGCAGGGCUGGAGGCCAGGAGGAGGAGGAUUUUCUCCCAAAAUGCUCCUGUCACAUGGUUGUCACCCUUGACAAGGCUGGGGCAUUCUGCACUUGACUUCCAGUGGGAGUGGCUCCUCCUGAGAGGACAAUGCCUGUGGAUGUGGCUUGGUCAGUUCUGCAUGUUUCAGCUGCUGGGUGGGGACAGAUGCACCUGCUCCCUGUGGUUGCCUGGCAGGGGCCACCAGCCCAGGUUGAACUGUGCUCUGCACAAUGCCCACCCACCCAUUGUUCUCCCUGGAAGACACACCCCUGCCAACCCUGGACCCUGAAGAUCUCUGAAUCCAGCACGUGCCCAAGGAGUAC
rnacentral:lncRNA from 1 species